AAGAAACACGUCAAUAUAUUGCAUGAAGAAACACACUCUUGAUUACAAUCACUGCGACAAGAUUACUGCCAUACACUGUACGUCUGUACCAGCAGCAGAGUAUGCAGUAUAGGCAACGAAACAAGGACGGUCUGGCACAUACAUUUAUUCAGGUGCAAGGGAGAUGUAAAAAAAAAAGCUAUCGAACAGGAGGCCAGAACUGAACUUCAUACGCGGCCUCGGCGCAUAUCUAGGUCAAAAUUUAUGUGAUCACCGUGGGGGCAGAUCGGCCGGUGUACUCCUGGAUCUU
rnacentral:lncRNA from 1 species